UUCUGCCAUAGGUUCACCACCACUGGCCUCAGGGAGCCAGCGUCCCUGCCAGCAAGCAUCUGAUAGCAGCCCACAAGGUGCAUGGGGGCCAUUUCUACUAAUGGUAGAUCCACCUGUUAUCCACAGGGAUCGAACUCGGGACCUUGCGCUUGCGAGGCAGGCACCGGAACCACUGAGCUAAAUCCCCAGCCCUACUAGUUGUUUUCUUGAAAAGAAGUUUUUACAAGAAAAUCAUGAUAAAUUCCGUCUUUGUGGAAAUGAGAACCAUAGAACAAACCAAAUCUUGAAGAUAUAACACAAGGGCUGCAUUACUGAG
rnacentral:lncRNA from 1 species